rnacentral:rRNA from 1 species
UGCCAGACUCCUACGGGAGGCAGCAGUGGGGAAUAUUGCACAAUGGGGGAAACCCUGAUGCAGCGACGCCGCGUGAGUGAGGAAGUAUCUCGGUAUGUAAAGCUCUAUCAGCAGGGAAGAAAAUGACGGUACCUGACUAAGAAGCCCCGGCUAACUACGUGCCAGCAGCCGCGGUAAUACGUAGGGGGCAAGCGUUAUCCGGAUUUACUGGGUGUAAAGGGGGCGCAGACGGCGAUGCAAGCCAGGAGUGAAAGCCCGGGGCCCAACCCCGGGACUGCUCUUGGAACUGCGUGGCUGGAGUGCAGGAGGGGCAGGCGGAAUUCCUGGUGUAGCGGUGAAAUGCGUAGAUAUCAGGAGGAACACCGGUGGCGAAGGCGGCUUACUGGACGGCAACUGACGUUGAGACCCGAAAGCGUGGGGAGCGAACAGGAUUAGAUACCCUGGUAC